rnacentral:lncRNA from 1 species
AAGGCUCUUCUGUGUCUUCCUGACCAGCUGCUCUGUUCCCAGCUUAGAGGACCAGAGGGAGAAGCCACCUGCUACACGCUGGAUGCUGCAGCCUGUGCCACUGUGGCUCACAUCGCUGUGGUUGGUGGCAGCAACGGAGACUGCAGCCAGCUGGAGUGCUGUGAUGACAGUGCUUAUCAAUCCUGUCCCCGCCACACCACCAACAUACACAGAAAAAAAGCAGGCAAUGAGUUGGCUCCGGGAUGACCUCGUAUGAAGACGUUUCAUUCCUUAGUCUUGGCAAUUGACAUCACAAACUUGGGUACAAGCUACAAAAUUAAGGUUGUCUAGGAACCACAUUUAAAACGUAAAAGAGAGGCAAGGUGCGGUGGCUCAUGCCUGUAAUCCCAGCACUUUGGGAGGCUGAAUUGAGAGGAUCCCUUGAGCCUAUGAAGCUGCAGUGAGCUGUGAUCGCACCACUGCGCUCCAGCCUGGACGACAGAGCGAGACUCUGUCUCAAGAAAAAAAGAAGAAGAAGAAGAAGAAGAAACAGGAGUUCAACUCAACUGAACAAUUAUGUCCUGAGUGUCUAUUACGAGUACGACAUCCUACAAGGCAUUAAAAAAGUUUGAGGAAAAUCUGAAUAGAAGAAAAGGAAAUGGAGGUCUCCAGCAAAAUCUGCCAAGUGUUUUUAUAAAGUCCCAUCUGAACUUCUUUGGAGUAGACCAAGGUGCAGAAAUCCAUAUCCUCUCCCCACAUUGCAUCCCCUAAAGAGCUUCAAGCAUAGCUGGAAAGCCUUGAAACACAUCUAUUGGAGAGACUUGUCACACUGGACAAAGGCAAGAGCAACUUCUCAGAUGCUGCAAAUGAGGAACCUAUUUGCAAGCCACAGAGGUGGCUAAAACAUGGACACUAGCUUCUGUAGACACAGCUUCUAACACACCUUCAGUGCCUCACCCUCCUCACUAGGUAAAGUGGUGAGCGUUCAUUGAUGAGCUUCAUUUGAUACCCAAGAAAAUCAAGACCUUGAGUCACAUGCUCAAGGUUACACAGCAAAGCAGAGGCAGCUUGAAAACUGGAUUCAGGCCUUCUGAGCCCCUCUAGUAGACCGCACUGCUCCACAGAUGCAGGUAGCUUCUGAGAUCAAAACAUUCUGUUGGGUAAUGAUAACCAAAGUACAGCUCAUGUUUGUUUAUGUAAGGGCCCUGCUCAUUUCUGUGGGGAGAACUCAGCCAGGCCACAGAGCAGUCACAGGGCUUUCCAGACUGCAGAGCUGCCCCAGUGUGCAUGGCAGCUGGUUCCGCAGGAGUUCACCUGCCCACAGAGAUGUUCGGGGUCCUCCGCCUUCCCAUUGGUCUUGGUGUCUGCAUGACGGGCCACUGUGAUCAGACGUGGGGGCAGUAAGCAUGCUGAGCAACGUCUGGGUGUCCUGGGGCAGGGGCGGGGGGCAUUCUGUGGAGGUGACUGCAUCUGGAAAGGGCCCAAGUAGGGAGGGAAAUGGGAAAGGAUGUGCACAGGCAGUCACAGCUGGACUCCGCCUGGGCUUGCCAGGCUCCCUCCUCUGCCUUCUACUGCUACUCCCUACUUGCUUAACCUCUCCAACUUCCUACUAUGCAAUGUUUAAAAACCUGCUCAACAAAACAUCCUUCUUCCUGGAGAAUUUUCCUAACAAAGGGCCCCAUUCAGGCGGGGCUGCUUGGGAGGAAGGGAACUGUUGUCCAAAACCUGGCUCUUGCCACUUUCCACCCUGGCCACAAACAAGACUUUUUUUCACAGCUCUUAAUCUCAGUUUCCUCCCUGGGCAAGCUCCUCACGCAGACACCAAGACCCACUGAGGCAGAAGGGCCUGAACAUUCUAUUAGGGCAGGUGAGCUCCUGCAGAACCAGCUGCCAGGCACACUCCAAUAGAUCUGCUGCCCAGAAAGUCCCAUGGCCACUGUGGCCUGGCUGUGCUCUCCCUGCAGAAAUGAGCAUGGCAUUUACAUGAAAGAUGAAGUAGGAUACUUGAUUUCACUACUCUGAAAUUUUCUUUCCAGUCUGAUCUGCUCUCUUGAACUUCAGAGUCAUGCAUCUCACAGCCUACUUGGCACCUCCACAUGGAUAAAGAUGCAUCUCAACUCACCAUGUCCAAAGCACGUGCCCCCAACUACAAGCAAAUCCCUCAACACACUCCCUGCCCCUCCCACAGAUCUUCCUCACCUGUCAGUGCCUCUGUCCACAAUGCUCCCCUAGACUGCCGCAAGGACUGCACCUCAGCUGCUGGAGUCCUUCCGCAAUGUCACCACCUCAGUGAGGCUUCCCACCAAUCUAUUUACAAUUGCAGUUUCUCCCCAGCACUUCCUACCCACUGCCCUGCUUUCUCUUCCUUCACAGCACUGACGAUCAUCUGACAUUUUGUAUACUUUACUUGUUUGGUUCACUGUCAUUCUCUCCCAAGGUAGGAGUUGGAGAUCCCACCCUGCUUCUCAAACACACCCACCAGGCUCGUCGUUAAGCUAGGUCCAGCAAGAAGCCACACUGCAGCUGAGCCUGACCAUAUCCAGGUUAGAGUCAGUGGGGACGAAAGUGGGCAGAAGGGGUGUGGGUUAUGUGUGGGUCAGCUUCACUUAGGGAGCCAUUGCUUGACCUAGACUUGCCCCUCACUGUGAGCUGGGAGGUGAAUGCAGCAGCCAAGCCUUGAUCCUCUGUGGGAAGCAGAUGUCUAAGGCUGGCUUAGCACAGGGGGCAGGAAGCUGGGCUCUGAGACAUCCUGACGCAGAGCUGCUUUCCCAGGCUGAACUGCUAAAUACGAGACAGAGAAACUUCUAUCUUACUUAGGCCACGAUAUUUCUGGGUCUCUUUGUUACAGCAGCUUAGUAUUUAUCCUAGCCAAUUACAUCUCCCACAGAAAGGACAGGGAGUUUUGCUUGUAUUUUUAACAUCUAUAAGGGUUCCUGGCACACAGCUGGUGCCUGAUAAAUAUGUGUUAAAUGACGGAAUGAAUGAAUGUCUAUGAAAUAAAAGGAAAAAUCCCAAGUAUUCCAGAAAGAUGACUUAAUGGGGACUUGUCCAAUCAAUAAGAUGAGAUUAUGCCAAUGAUGUGUUCAUUGGUUGUCUAAUAACCUUCCACCUUGGGCUAUGUCGCUAAUGACAAUGCAGAUGGAAACAGCUGGAGCAAAGAACAGUUUUGUUUGCAUGCACUUAGUUUUUGCAAUUAAUCAGGCCAUGCAUGAGAGAGCAAGGGUGGCUCAGAUAUAUAUCAAUAGAGAAUCCAUGUAGACCAUUGACCACAUCCUUGGAAUGAAUAUCAAACAAAAACUUAGCCUUCUCUAGUCCAUUUUAAGUAGCGCUUCAUGGAGUCAUCACAGAAGGAUCUUAUUAUAUGCCAAAUGUAAUCUUAGUUAACAAUCUAUAUAAAAUGAUGACUGAUUUAUAAUGAAUGCCCAAAGAAGAAAACGGGAAGACCUUCAGGAGGUGAACCACUUCUUCCAACACAAGUGCUUUGGUACCAAUUUCAGGAACUAUCAGGUGAGCUGGAUAAUGGGGACAGUUAAGCAUUCACAUCAUUUUACCAAAUUAGUCGUAUUAAUCUGACAUUUUUACUUACUCCCAACAGUAGACAGAGGUAUGGAGAAAACAGUGAGUGCCUAGAGAGCAGUUAACCACAGGAACCUAUAUUUGUCUUUUGUACAAAAGUUAGCUGAAUUAUCAUCAACACCAUCACAGCUACCAUAUAACCACAAGUGCAGGGGCCAGCCCCUACAUACCCACUUUCUGGGCGCUGUAAUAACCCUGUGCAGAAAGGAUCUCAUAGAUGGAGAAGUUGAUAUGUAUCUGUACAUACUUUUUAAUGCCAAACAACCAUUAGGUGGCUGGAUCUAGAUCUGAGCUCAGGUUAGUUUGACUCUUAAAACUUAUGCUUUUUUUUUUUUUUUUUUUUUUUAGCAUGUUAUGUUCUUUCCAACCAUUUAGAGUAAAAAAAAAAAAAAAAAAAAAGACUAUAGUGUGAAGGAUUACUGGUUCAGAUUCUGUAUAGACCAGUAUAUUCUAGUUAAUCAGCUAACACAUACAAUAUAGCUUGACCUAAUUUAAAACACAAGCAUGACUUUACAAAUCCAACCUGUUUUAUCUAAACCCUAGAUUAAGGAGGCUAUUGAAUUUUAUUGCAGUAAAAAACAACAUAUGGCUUAUAAACUUCAUUUUAUGUGUUAUUUUAAAGCUCUAUGUGGUAUCAUAAAAUGAGCAUUAAAUAAAUGUAGUAGGGAAGAUCAAGUUGUAAAUGAACUAAUUAUGCUUUCUGUCUGGGCUUCCACCUUUGAGAUUUCAUUAACGCCUUAUGUUUUCAUUAGAGAGUUUAGCACAUGAAAAUAACACAUCUGGUUUCCUUCUGUAUAACAUAUCACUCUGGCAACUCCAACAUAAUUGGAAAUGCAAGCAUUUUUACUUAUUGGUGACUAUGUUUUGACACAUGCAAUUCAAUUAGCAAUUAGCAAUAAGUACUGGAAUAUAAGCACAAAAAUGAGACAUUUAAAAAUAUUUUUCACUGAAAUAUUUUAUCUUUGACCUUCAUAUUUGCUUCAAGUAAACUACAAUUCAAUCCAUUGCUUUCUGUGCUCUUCUACCAGCACCAGUACCAUCAAAAAGCCCAAAUCAAAUAAAAGUUUAACAAAAUUAAAACCUGAUGAUGAAUCUAUUUCUAGUCAUGCUCUUUAAAAAAUUAUUAACAAAGAGCUCUCUUCAAUCUUAAUUGAGACAAGCAUACAGUUCUGAAGUGUAAGCUUUAUCUUGUUAAUCUAAACUGGUUAAGCAAAAAUAUCUAUGUAACACUCAACAUACAAAUUCCAGAUCUACCACUAUAGAGUCUGCCAAUAAACAAAAUAGUUGAAUUUGUAAAAUACACUUUAUACCAAGCACUCUGACACUGGAUACAUGUGAAAGAAGAAGGCUUCGUCAUUUAUGUUUUUUAUAUUUUAGACUUUAGUCUUAGGACUAUGUUUCUUUUUCAAUAACCAAAAGAAAUAUUAUUUCCAAAAAAAGCUUGUUCUGUUUGCUCUUCCAUUUAUAUCCAUAACUACAUUUUUUAAAUUGAACUGAUUUAAAAUUAUAGUAAAAUAGACAUAAGAUUUACUAUUAAGAAGCUGAAUACAUUCACAAUGUUAUGCCACCAUCACCACUAAUUCUAGAACAUUCUUAUCUCCCCAAAAGGAAACCCCAUACCCAUUAAGUGGUCACUCCCUUUCCCCCAUCCCUGCAGCCCCUGGCAAGCCCUAAUCUGUUUUCUGUCUCUAUGGAUU